rnacentral:misc_RNA from 1 species
CGCACAUUGCGCCCCUUGGUAUUCCGGGGGGCAUGCCCGUUCGAGCGUCAUGUAAAACCCUCAAGCCUGGCUUGGUAUUGGGUCCCGGGGCCAUCCCGGAUCUCAAAUGCGUCGGCUAUUGAUUAGUAAAUGGGAGUGCUGUAGCGGCCGCCGUAACCACUUACUGGCGCGAGGCUCGCGCGACCUGCCUUACGCGUUCGCAUCGGUCACGCACCGAACACAAGUUUGACCUCGGAUCGGGUAGGAAUACCCGCUGAACUUAA